GCCUUUGUAGUUUAUUCUAAAAAUAUUGGUCUUGUAAAUCAAAGAAAGGAUUUCUCCUCUAAGGCU
rnacentral:tRNA from 1 species